rnacentral:rRNA from 1 species
AGUGAACGCUGGCGGCGUGCUUAACACAUGCAAGUCGAACGAGAACGGAAUAUAGCUUGCUAUAUUUGUCAGCUAAGUGGCGCAUGGGUGAGUAAUGUAUAGAUAACCUGCCCUUAAGAAAGGAAUAACAGUUGGAAACGACUGCUAAUGCCCUAUAUGCCUUUAAUACAUAAGUAUGCAAGGGAAACGCUUUAGUGCUUAAGGAUGGGACUGUAUGGUAUCAGCUUGUUGGUGAGGUAAUGGCUCACCAAGGCUAUGACGCCUGACUGGUUUGAGAGGAUGAUCAGUCACACUGGAACUGAGACACGGUCCAGACUCCUACGGGAGGCAGCAGUGGGGAAUAUUGCACAAUGGGCGAAAGUCUGAUGCAGCAACGCCGCGUGGAGGAUGACACAUUUCGGUGCGUAAACUCCUUUUAUAUAGGAAGAUAAUGACGGUACUAUAUGAAUAAGCACCGGCUAACUCCGUGCCAGCCGCCGCCGUAA